CUGGCUGGCUCAGUCAGAAGAGCAUGCCACUCUUGAUAUCAGGGUCAUGAGUUAGAGCCCCAUGAUGGGUGUUAGAGAGUACUUUUAAAAAUAAAUAAAAGGCCACAUUCCUGGGAUAGGGUGAAAUUGUAACUAAAUCUUGGUUUGUUGUUGUUGGGGGCAAAGGACUCCAUUUUGGAUUUCUCUUUUUAACACUUUAUAGGAGUUGACACUCAAGUGAGGCUUAGUCAAGUGAAAACUGACAUCCAGAAGUCAGUGCAAAAAAGUUCUGUGUUGCUAGAGCUUGUUGCUAGGGAACAAGGGCACAGGUGUUGUUUGGCAAGAUGAUCUUCCCUACGAUGCUACUUGGCUUUGCCCCUGCUUUUAAGAGAGUUGCCUUUACUGGGGGCAGAAACUAAUUGUCUCAGGGUCCUUGGGAACUAUUUUAAAUCAGCAAAGUUUAUGAUUGCUCAGAGCAAGCAUUCUCAAAUAGUCCCCACAGCUCUCAUUAUUUAUGGUCUCAUGUCUCCUUGACAGUUACAUCAUCUGUUUUCAUUGAUAAGCUGCCAGCCAGGCCCCUCAGCAGCUGAGUUGCUGAGUUUUGAUGGGCGAGAACAGAUGAGAUGAUGAUGUCCUGACACAACUUCCUUCAUUCUUAUAUCAAAACAACUUUACCUCUGAAAACAGUUUGUCCUUCUCAUAAACAAGUGGACUUGACAUCAUACCAAACCAGUACACAACAUAGGCAGAGCUGGAAGAAUCUGGACUGUCUGGCCAUUGGGGGCCAGAAAUAAUAUCCUUGGAUGAUAGAUACCUGGGAGGCUGGAGAAGCCUAGGACCCCCGUCAGAUAGCCAAUCCAAAUGAGCACAACCUGUCACAAAUUUAAAGCUGCCUCCUGACAAAGACUUUCAUGUGGAGGGUUCCCUACACCCUGAGGCAAUUCAGGUGACUGGGUUCUGAACAGAAUUUCACAGGCUUGGAGCAUCCCCUGUAGCCCUAGUCCUGCUGAUGAGGCGUGGACUGCAUGUGCCCACUGCGUGGGUCAGAAUAGCCUGGAACGAGGCAAUGUUGAAGGAAGCCAGGUCACAGGAUGGGGCUAUUCAGAGUAUGAGUCAGCAGCCUAAUAUGCACAGCCUACGAGCCCGUAUGGAGUUUUCCCCACAAGGCAGAGCUGAAGGUUUUCCAUCUGCUUUGCCAGGGAGGGAACACUGGCAGGACAGGAUAUCCUCCAUUUAGACGUAUCUGGGAGUCCUGGUCCCUAGAGAAGCCUAGGACACCAUUGGCUGCAAGUUCACAUGGGGACCAUUGCCCAUUUGCAGCUUUCACACAGGGUGAUUUUUGAAAGGUGGGCUCCCUCCAUGCUAAAAGCUAUGAGGGUGAUUGGAGCCUGGCGGGAGUUUGACAAGUUUAGAGAGCAGCGUCUGCCCAAGUCCAGCUUCUGGGUGCAUAAUGCACUUGUACAGGCUACACAGGUAAACCAGGGACAUGGAACAGGCAAUGUUGGGCAAGACCCAGUCACCUGAGGGGGCUUUGGAGGUAACGGACAUGUGCCUAAUCCCAAACUUUCACCUACACAAAUAGACGUUCUCACUGAAGGCAGAUCUGGAGUAAUCUGGAGUGCCUGAUCAGGUUUAAUCAGCAGUCUGGCUAGAGUAUCCUCUAAUAAGGACACCUGGCAACCUUGAUUACUGCAGAAGCCCCAGAACCCAGCGGACACUAAGUCUUCAUGGGCUCUGCCCAGCUCCCAUUUCAGAGGCUGUUCAGGGUGUUAGGUCCCUGCACCCUUGAGACUGUGCAGGUGGUUGGGGAUGGGUCUCAGCUCCCAAGGCCUGGUGGCCCCAGCUGCUGAAGGACAGCUAAUGGGGUACAUACUCCUCAUGAUGUGGGCUGUGCAGGUUAAUGUAGCCGUGGACCUGAGAAAAGGUGAGUGUCUUGUAAGGCCAGGUCACAAGAGCAGACUAUUAGAAGUACCAGGCAUCUGUCUAAUUAUAAGGCUUCACCUAACAAAUGUGUAUUUUCCCCUUUAAGCAGAGCUGGAGAAAUCUGGGCGGCCUUACUAGGACCAGCUGGAAUGCCCCCUUAUAAGACACAGCUGGGAUCCUUAAUUGCUGGAGAAGUCAGCUCCCUAUCAGACAGUUCGAACGGGGCCUGACAGUUCCCAGUUUAACUUAGGGCUUCAGAAAAAUUUGGGGGGGGGGGUGUGGGUUCUCUCCACCCUGAAGGCUAUCAGGUGAUAGGCAACUGGUUCGAGCCUCACAGGCCUGGAGGAUUCCAACAGCCAAAAGCUGGCAGACGGUGUGGAAUGUACAUUACAGCUGGCAGGUCAUGAUUGCCAGCGUCCCGGAACAGAGCAUAUCAGGUAGAGCUGGAUGUUUUCAACUGCCUUGCCCGGGUGGGGACCUGCCAGCAAGACAGCUUACCUUUCAUUUGGAGACACCUUGAAGUCCUGGUCCCUAGAGAAGCCCAGGACCCCAUCAGGCACUAAUGCCUCAGAAAGACUUUUUGGGAUUCUGCACACUCUGCCCUGUAAUGCAAGUGGAUGAGGACCAUUUGGAGCUGCAGAGGCCUACAGUGCCCCAGCUACCCAAGGCUGACAUCAUAGUUGGCAGGAUAAACUUUCCUAGCGGGAUACUGCUGCAGCUGAGAGAUCCUGGGACAUCUGACAAAAAGCCAGCAAAAGGCCACCUAGAAGAACCUUGAAGGGUAGAAUAAAAGUUUUCCUUCCCAACAUUUGACAUAGUCAGUAGGAUACACUUCUCUCACUGGACACUGUUUGCUUUGAGGCUCUUGCAGCUGACACAUCUGGAACAUCUGACAAACAGCCAGAAGAUAUAAGAAAGCCUUUCCUCUUAAACUAAAUACGACUCACAGCAAUUUGGUAAAUUGUACCUUUUUAGCAGAAUUGCAACAUCUAUCUUUCUCCCCUACCUGAUCUCUCCAGAAUUUGGAAUCUCUCAGUGAGCAUUCUUAUGGUUUCAUAGAAAUAUUUGCCUAAGAUCAAUAAGAAUCUUUUCUCUUUGUGACAAGACACAGUUGGAAACAUUGGUUAUAUUACCAAGGCUUUGACUGAAAUGUCAUAUUUGAGACAAACAUGCAUAGACUCAGAUUUAUGAGUCUAUGCUUUAUGGAACUAAGGAUGACUUAAUGGAGCCAAUAAAUCCCCCUAGGAAUAUCAGCCUGCUAUCUUGCUUACAAGGAUCUCAGCAGCCUUACCAGAAAUGCCUCUUAUUUAAUACCUGCUUGAACCAUGAGCCUAACUUUGGGAACACACAUCCAUCACCAUUUCCUGAAAUGAAUUUAGUAGAACUGACCUAUUUUCAACUCUAAGAGACUAGCCCAGUGAGAUAAAACAAUCUACCAGCUCACAUUUUAGUAUGUGGAGUUUCUAAGGAACUCUAGGGGCCCAGGCCAGGCCACCCUAAAAUAUGCCACUUUGUCAUGUUAUUUUGAAUUAAAGCUAUUUAAGAACAGAAGAACAUUCUGACUCUCUUUGUCUCCAGAUAGCAGGAAAUAAAUCUCCAAUGUGAAAGCUAUCCUGCCUGCAUCAGGGAGCAGAAAGACAUCCUUAUCACCUGAAAUAGGUAUUUAGAGCCAAGAAGACUGUAUAAAUCAACAAGUCUUGUUACUUUUACUAGUUUACUACCUCAGCCCAAAUUCUGUUUAGAAUUGUAUGUUAAUAAAGCCAAUGAACAUAAGUUUUCUCGGCUUUGUCCAUUCCUCACAGAUUUAUGGUUCUUUGCCUAAACAUACAACAGCUGCUUGCUUUGGUCAUCUGGGGAGUCUCAAUUUCAUUAUUGGACAUCUGUGUAUACAAAAUAAAAAUUUUUUUCUUGUGUUAA